AUUGAACGCUGGCGGCAGGCCUAACACAUGCAAGUCGAGCGGAUGAAGGGAGCUUGCUCCUGGAUUCAGCGGCGGACGGGUGAGUAAUGCCUAGGAAUCUGCCUGGUAGUGGGGGAUAACGUCCGGAAACGGGCGCUAAUACCGCAUACGUCCUGAGGGAGAAAGUGGGGGAUCUUCGGACCUCACGCUCUCAGAUGAGCCUAGGUCGGAUUAGCUAGUUGGUGGGGUAAAGGCCUACCAGGGCGACGAUCCGUAACUGGUCUGAGAGGAUGAUCAGUCACACUGGAACUGAGACACGGUCCAGACUCCUAAGGGAGGCAGCAGUGGGGAAUAUUGGACAAUGGGCGAAAGCCUGAUCCAGCCAUGCCGCGUGUGUGAAGAAGGUCUUCGGAUUGUAAAGCACUUUAAGUUGGGAGGAAGGGCAGUAAGUUAAUACCUUGCUGUUUUGACGGUACCAACAGAAUAAGCACCGGCUAACUUCGUG
rnacentral:rRNA from 1 species